GCUCGGGUAGCUUAGUUGGUAAAGCGCUCGUAUAGCAUACAAGAGUCCUGGGGUUCAAAUCCCAGCCGAAGCA
rnacentral:tRNA from 1 species